UACAGAGGUCUCAAGCGUUGUUCGGAUUCAUUGGGCGUAAAGGGUGCGUAGGUGGCGCGGUAAGUCGGGUGUGAAAUUUCGGAGCUUAACUCCGAAGCUGCAUUCGAUACUGCCGUGCUUGAGGACUGGAGAGGAGACUGGAAUUUACGGUGUAGCAGUGAAAUGCGUAGAUAUCGUAAGGAAGACCAGUGGCGAAGGCGGGUCUCUGGACAGUUCCUGACGCUGAGGAGCGAAAGCGUGGGGAGCGAACAGG
rnacentral:rRNA from 1 species